rnacentral:rRNA from 1 species
AUUGAACGCUGGCGGCAUGCCUUACACAUGCAAGUCGAACGGCAGCGCGGGCUUCGGCCUGGCGGCGAGUGGCGGACGGGUGAGUAAUGCAUCGGAACCUGCCCUUUAGUGGGGAAUAACCAGUCGAAAGACUGGCUAAUACCGCAUACGACCUACGGGUGAAAGCAGGGGAUCGCAAGACCUUGCGCUAAUGGAUGAGCCGAAGUCGGAUUAGCUAGUUGGUGAGGUAACGGCUCACCAAGGCGACGAUCCGUAGCUGGUCUGAGAGGACGACCAGCCACACUGGGACUGAGACACGGCCCAGACUCCUACGGGAGGCAGCAGUGGGGAAUAUUGGACAAUGGGGGAAACCCUGAUCCAGCGACGCCGCGUGUGUGAAGAAGGCCUGCGGGUUGUAAAGCACUUUUAGUGGGGAGGAAAACCCCUGACCUAACACGUCAGGAAUUGACUUAACCCAAAGAAAAAGCACCGGCUAACUCUGUGCCAGCAGCCGCCGUAA